rnacentral:lncRNA from 1 species
GGGAAUUCCUUGAUUAUGCUAAUACCACCUAGAGAUAGGGGUAGGACGAUCAAUUGUAUGUUGCUUCUGUUUAUCAUGCAUUAUUGGUUACUAGGGGAGACUAGAGAUAGCAAGCCAGUAAUUGGUAAUAGGCUCUUUUCGCCAAGAGAUUGGGUUUAGGGUAGACUAAGAAAGUUUGCAUGACAAUAUGAUAAAUAAGUUAAGAAAAUAAGAAGAGUAGAUAUAAGAGGGUGGAUAAGAUGAAAUUGUAAACCCCAAAUACUCCAUUCAUCCAUAGCCUUUUCUAGCCAAUUGAUUCACUACAUUUGCAUGUUUACUUUUGUUCUUUGCAUUCAAAACCGAAAAUUAAUUCUUUUCUCAAGUCUUAUGCGAUUGACUUACACCAAAGUUAAGGCCUAAGAGUCUUUUGGAAAAUGCUACUUGGACUUACCCAUUUUAUAUUACUUGAUAACAAUCUGGUACACUUGCCAGGGACUUAACACACGCCUAUGACUUUGGCUGAAAUCUGAUAGCAAACGGGGGGAGAAAGACUCGAAUUUUUCAAGUAACUUAUUAGCACAAAUAUGCAAAAGGGGUGAAAAGGGUUUUUUUUUCAAGAAGAGCGAGAGAAGGGAGAACGAAGUGGAGAAAGAAAGCCAGCUACACAGGAAAGAGGAAACAUCUGCGGGACGAGGCGAAUAAUAGUGAACGAAGCUCCAAUAGGUAAGCAACGCUUUGCAUACCUAUGUCAUCGUGUUUUAGUGACUUAAUUUUUAUACCUCAUUUUUCACUUGUUGCUGGAACACAUUUCUGCCCUGUU